GCGGGCGUCGCCAAGUGGUAAGGCCCAGGCUUCCCAAGCCUGUACCGCGGGUUCGAGUCCCGUCGCCCGCU
rfam:Adlercreutzia equolifaciens DSM 19450 DNA, complete genome.